rnacentral:rRNA from 1 species
CGAAGGGGGCUAGCGUUACUCGGAUUGACUGGGCGUAAAGGGCGCGUAGGCGGUUUGUACAGUCAGGCGUGAAAUUCCUGGGCUCAACCUGGGGGCUGCGUUUGAUACGUAUGGGCUUGAGUUCGGAAGAGGGUCGUGGAAUUCCCAGUGUAGAGGUGAAAUUCGUAGAUAUUGGGAAGAACACCGGUGGCGAAGGCGGCGACCUGGUCCGAUACUGACGCUGAGGCGCGAAAGCGUGGGGAGCAAACAGGAUUAGAUACCCUGGUAGUCCACGCCGUAAACGAUGUGCGCUGGAUGUUGGGUGACCUAGUCACUCAGUGUCGUAGCUAAACGCGAUAAGCGCACCGCCUGGGGAGUACGGCCGCAAGGUUG